rnacentral:rRNA from 1 species
GACGAACGCUGGCGGCGUGCCUAAUACAUGCAAGUCGAACGCUUCUUUCCUCCCGAGUGCUUGCACUCAAUUGGAAAGAGGAGUGGCGGACGGGUGAGUAACACGUGGGUAACCUACCCAUCAGAGGGGGAUAACACUUGGAAACAGGUGCUAAUACCGCAUAACAGUUUAUGCCGCAUGGCAUAAGAGUGAAAGGCGCUUUCGGGUGUCGCUGAUGGAUGGACCCGCGGUGCAUUAGCUAGUUGGUGAGGUAACGGCUCACCAAGGCCACGAUGCAUAGCCGACAUGAGAGGGUGAUCGGCCGCACUGGGACUGAGACACGGCCCAGACUCCUACGGGAGGCAGCAGUAGGGAAUCUUCGGCAAUGGACGAAAGUCUGACCGAGCAACGCCGCGGGAGUGAAGAAGGUUGUCGGAUCGUAAAACUCUGUUGUUAGAGAAGAACAAGGACGUUAGUAACUGAACGUCCCCGGACGGUAUCUAACCAGAAAGACACGGCUAACUACGUG